AGUAAUGGGAACUUCAAUGAUAGGUAAACCGAAAAAACGAGCAAGUGUUAAUACUUCAAUAUCAAAAAUCCAUCCUUCAACAUGCAUACGAGGGAAAAUACUUUGAUAUGCCUCACGAGAAAAAAGCUUGAAGCCACAUUGCGUAUCGCCAAUCUCCCUGAUCCCUAAGAUUUGUAAAAGUUUGUGAAAACAGUGCAUCAAAAAGUUCCUAAUAAAUGAGCGCUUUACUACUGCAGCCGUGUUCACCAUAUGAGCACGCGAGCCAACAACGACACCACCCCUUGGUCCGGGUGGCAUAUUUUUAAAAAGGAGCUCCAAAUCAGAAAAUUGAGAAGCACCAUCUGCAUCAGCAAAAAUUGCAUAUUGACCUCUAGCGUACAACAUGCCCCAAGUUACCGCACCGCCUUUACCACGAUUCCGUUUGAGUGAGCAAACUCGUAAAUGAUCCCGCAAAUCCAGUUUGUUAGAAAACUCUAGCACUGCAUUCACCGUCGUAUCCUUACUCUCGUCGUCAACUAUAAGGAUCUCCCACCGACGUUGUCCUGCUGAAGAAGAGGAACGAUAAUAUUUUUCCAAGUGAUCGACUGUCUCUUGGAGCAUGUUUCCGAUUCGUUUAGACUCAUUAUACGCGGGAACAAUGACCGUUAUUUGUAUAUUAUCAGAAGUGCUCCACUUCUCAAGAGUCAAACUUUUUUUUUGACCGUUCUCAAUGAAUACACAUGUUUCCUCUCCUUCCAGUUGCUUCCUCGGGCAAUGAGAAUGAGUUAAAUAAUAGUAAACCUAUAUUUGGGUUAAUGAAUAUUCGGGGAAAAAUUUGGUCUAAUGUCACAUCAAAAAAUCGAAAGUACAGAUAAACUAAACAGGUUCUGCCCGCAACGACCUUAUUUACCGACGGGUGGACAUGAAUGAGAAGCAUGCUAGCUAAUAUUGCUUACCAAGAACAAAAGGAUAAAUCCCGCAAGGCAGGUGUAUAAAACGAUGUAUACUACCAUGUCGUAACUAUGCAAAAAGCAGAAGGGUUAAGAUUUAUGAUAUUGGAAGAAAUAACUCAUUCAAAAAAAAAAUUACUCCACUCCGUUUAUACUCUAAGCUAUUUUUUAAUGAAAUCCGAGCUUUUGCAGUUACAAAGCAUGCGGUGGGAUUAUUUGUGUUUGGCUCUGGCUAACUGCCGACUGGACUGGACAACAGUAAUCGUUUAGUCAUAGCAGACGAAUUUUUUAGUACGAGUUGGUGAGUAGCAGUCAACAACUUAAAAUGUCUACUUUUACAAGCAAUUAAGCAUAGACAUAUCGAUUACAAUAGACUCUCAUUGUUGCUCAACUUCUGAUAGAUCACAAAAGUCAAGCAUACUUGUUAUAAUUAUAUAAUUAUUUUGACUAUUUGGGAGACAUUGUAUUAAAAGAAUAGGUGCCUUUACUCUUUCCUAAAAAACUUACAUGACUGUAAUUCUGCGUGGAUAUAAAUAUUUUUUCAUGG